UGGGGAAUUUUCCGCAAUGGGCGAAAGCCUGACGGAGCAAUACCGCGUGAGGGAAGAAUGCCUAUGGGUUGUAAACCUCUUUUUUCAGGGAGGAAUAACAUGACGUGUACCUGAAGGAUAAGCAUCGGCUAACUCCGUGCCAGCAGCCGCGGUAAGACGGAGGAUGCAAGUGUUAUCCGGAAUCACUGGGCGUAAAGCGUCUGUAGGUGGUUUAAUAAGUCAACUGUUAAAUCUUGAUGGCUCAACUUCAAAAUCGCAGUCGAAACUAUUAGACUAGAGUAUAGUAGAGGUAAAGGGAAUUUCCAGUGGAGCGGUGAAAUGCGUAGAUAUUGGAAAGAACACCGAUGGCGAAAGCACUUUACUGGGCUAUUACUAACACUCAGAGACGAAAGCUAGGGUAGCAAAUGGGAUUAGAUACCCCAGUAGUCCUAGCUGUAAACAAUGGAUACUAGAUGUUGAACAGAUCGACCUGUGCAGUAUCAAAGCUAACGCGUUAAGUAUCCCGCCUGGGAAGUAUGCUCGCAAGAGUG
rnacentral:rRNA from 1 species